rnacentral:rRNA from 1 species
AACGAACGCUGGCGGCAUGCCUAACACAUGCAAGUCGAACGCCCCGCAAGGGGAGUGGCGAACGGGUGAGUAACGCGUGGGAACCUACCCAGCAGUUGGGGAUAACCGCGGGAAACUGCGGCUAAUACCGAAUACGUCCUUAGGGAGAAAGAUUUAUCGCUGUUGGAGGGGCCCGCGUCGGAUGAGCUAGUUGGUGAGGUAACGGCUCACCAAGGCGACGAUCCGUAGCUGGUCUGAGAGGAUGAUCAGCCACACUGGGACUUAGACACGGCCCAGACUCCUACGGGAGGCGGCAGUGGGGAAUAUUGGACAAUGGGGGCAACCCUGAUCCAGCAAUGCCGCGUGAGUGAUGAAGGCCUUAGGGUUGUAAAGCUCUUUUACCGGGGACGAUGAUGACGGUACCCGGAGAAUAAGCCCCGGCUAACUUCGUGCCAGCAGCCGCAGUAA